GACGAGGUGACCGAGUGGUUAAGGUGUUGGACUGCUAAUCCAAUGUGCUCUGCACGCGUGGGUUCGAAUCCCAUCCUCGUCG
rfam:Folsomia candida strain VT population Fcan01_Sc001, whole genome shotgun sequence.